GAUUCUAAGUCAAUUAAAAUAAUAUGGUCCAUUUCAGGUGAUAUUUUAGUAUAAGACAUUUCUUUUAGUAACUUUUCAAUUAAAAUGAACCAUAAACAAUUGUAUCCAACUCUAUCAAUGCUUCUCUAUAUUAGACAUAACUAAACAAUACAUACUACAACAUAGGAUUGGUGUACCCUCCAUUAGGUAGAAAGACAAUGAUCAAUGACUCAUUAGUUUCUUUCUCACUUAUUUUGCUAAAGCAGCCAAUCUUGUGCUUAUGCUACUCUUGUUGACCUUAUUAAUUAAUAAUCGCAAAGUAUAAAGAUAAGAUAGUAUAUGUGCUUUUCAUUUAUGUGGACACCAAUUACCAAACACAAAUAUAAAGAAAGAAAAAUGCAAAUUGUAUUCACCUAAACUUAGGUUGAAGCCAAAGCAUGAGGAAUUUCAACUAAGGAAACAAAAUAUUAUUUU
rnacentral:lncRNA from 1 species